AACGAACGCUGGCGGCAUGCCUAACACAUGCAAGUCGAACGAGACCUUCGGGUCUAGUGGCGCACGGUGCGUAACGCGUGGGAACCUGCCUUUAGGUUCGGAAUAACUCAGAGAAAUUUGAGCUAAUACCGGAUGAUGUCUUCGGACCAAAGAUUUAUCGCCUUUAGAUGGGCCCGCGUAAGAUUAGCUAGUUGGUGGGGUAAAGGCCUACCAAGGCGACGAUCUUUAGCUGGUCUGAGAGGAUGAUCAGCCACACUGGGACUGAGACACGGCCCAGACUCCUACGGGAGGCAGCAGUGGGGAAUAUUGGACAAUGGGCGAAAGCCUGAUCCAGCAAUGCCGCGUGAGUGAU
rnacentral:rRNA from 1 species